rnacentral:rRNA from 1 species
CCGCGACCCCAGGUCAGGCGGGACUACCCGCUGAGUUUAAGCAUAUAAAUAAGCGGA